CCCUCGCCUCUGGCCCUGGCUUGCUUCCCAUUUUGAGGAGCUGGCUGCCUCAGGCUGUUUUGUGGCACUGAAUUGGCAGCCCCCCCUUCUCGCUCCCCCCCUGCAUGAGUUGGCUGAAGGGGUGCAGGAAGUGUCGCCAGGAGCUGGCAGACUUCCCCAGGCUGAUCUCAGGCAAAAGCGUGAUCGGGCACAUGACAAGAAAUAGAUUUCAAAUGCAGCACUUUAAAAUCCCACUCCUCGGCCCCAAACCAGCCCCCUGUUCAAAAAUAAACAGAGUCAAAUGGAUCACCUGCCCCACGGCAGGCUGGCUCGGGUCCAGUCUCUAUGGAAAGUGUACGCACAAAGGGCUGACUGAAUUGCUAAGGAAGAUGGAAAGAGUCCCAUCCCCACGACAUUGUGAAUUGGAUUGCUCCCAGUAUACAGAGAAACAAGUCCAAGGCUUAGGAAGACCCUAGGAGAUAACACGCCAUGCAACCCCACAGCAUACAGAUGGAGCACCUAGGCUCAGCAAGAAGGAAUGGCUUGUGGAGACAAAGGGAUGACUGAGCGAGACGGUUAAGAGCUAACUGUCUGGCUUUAUGUUCUGGCUCCACUAUAAGCAAGAGACCAAGUCAUUACCAGCCGCGGCUCUUGUAAAUGGGAACAAAAUAGCUGUUUCUGCUGGAGUUGAUGUGAGUCUUACAUGAGAAAAUAACCACGGUGUAGUGUUUACAGAGCCCUGCAUAGAGAAGUCAUUCAAUAAACAGCAAGUACACUACCUAUCACGGUUACCCAGCAUCUGUGGCAGGACUAGCCUGGUGUCCCAGUGGCUUCACUGCCAAUCCCGGGGCUCCUGCUGGCAUAACUAUUCCUCUGUAGCAUCUCUCUAGACUCCCCCCAGGGAAGAAGUCCGAGGAGCUACUGCCUAUAGAUGCACCCCACAAUGGCAGCAGCAUAGAAAUGGUGGUGAUGACAGAGAUCCAGCCUGCCUGUGAGGGUGGAGGCAGCCCAGGCUCCGGGUGCCUGCGAUUUCUUGCUUUUCAUUGACAUUCCACAAGACUCUUGUCUUUAUCCGUAAAUCUCUGCACUUCUCCCCACCAAGGCAGCAGCUCCCCCCAUCGGCCCAUCGGCUCCUCACCUGUCUGAGCUCUCUGACAGUAGAUUAGGGUGAUCUUAUCUUCCCUAUUAUGGAGUGAUUGUAGCUCUGGCUGGGUUCAUUAGGAGCCGGAGAACCCCUCCAGAUUUAUUAGUUCAAAUCUAGCUUCCUCCAUCACAUCUUCUCUUCAGACACAUCCACCACAGUAGCAGACAGGGCGUUGCCCAGAGCCUUAAUUCUUCAUGUCCUGUAUCCAACUUGCAAGUAUCUUGUGAAACAAAGGUUCCUCCAACCACAGCCAAAGCCAGGCUGGAGGACAGAGACUCCAUUCUAUUCCAUUCAGUGGCCAAAUCGAGUUAUAUCCAUAACUGGUCUGUGUGCACCCCAUCUAGGCAGGCACACUCUAAGCCCCCAGAAACCUUGGUUACCAGGGAGCUAACAGGUGUUAACAUCUACUCUUAGGAACAGUUAUCCUUUAAACAGACAAGCCAGUUGCUCUUGCAGCAUACACAAGAGAGAUGUGCAGUGGCAAUGAGUAAUUCAGCAAUGUGGCAGAGAUUCCUUGCUAAUGACAAAAAUCUAUUUCCCCUUCAUCAUAGGCACACAGAAAACUACAUUUCCCAGACACCUUUGCAGGGAUGUGCAGCCAUGUGGUGAGAUUUAGUCAACAAAAUUGUAAGAAGUGAUCUGAACUGCUUCAAGGCUUGACCCAUAAAUUACUCUGUGUAUGAACCUCCAUGUUUUUUCCCCACCCCUGGCCUCUUUGGAAGCACAUUUAUAAACUAGAAGAUGCUUGUGACCUAAAUGCCCUUAUCUGAGGUCAUAACUAUCAGGGACUCCCUUGUGGAACUUCCAGUAAAAAAUGUGCAAUCUGCCUUCUAUAUCUGUGGGAUUGACACCAUGGAUUCAUCCAACAGCUGGCUGAAAACAGUCAAGGGACAAUUAGGUCUGUGCUGAAUAUGCACAGAUACUUUCCUUGUCACCGUUCCCUAAAUGAUGCCAUAUAAUAAUGAUCAGCAUUUACAUUAUAGUAGUAUUUAUCUAAAGAUGGUUUAAAGUAUAUGGGAGAAAAAGCUACACCAUUUAAAGGAGACACUUGAACAUCUGCAUUUUUUUGGAUUAUUAACAAAGGGUUUAGAAUCCAUCCCUUACCCAUAGUAAGGGACUACUGUGCUUGCCCUACUGUGUGAAGCUGUGGGGUUUGUGGGUUGAUUAGUUGUAGCAGUUAGCACCGUCUCCUGGCUACAAUGCCACCUCCAGCUAUUUUUAAAUUCCUACUAAGAGACUUUAAAGACAGGCAUUACCACUAUUCACAUCUUUACUGAUGAAGAAACUCCAAGGAGCCCCCGAGUCCACACAAGUCCCUGAAAGCAACAGAAGCAAGGUUUCCCACAUGUCCAUCAGGGCUGGGCUCUUAAACAGCAGCUACUUUCUCUUAUUACUAAGCUUCUUCAUUAGAAGGGCCCUUGACUACACCUGUGGGGUCUUGACUCUGCCAAUCUGCAAACUCUAACUAGAGAGAAUAGGCAUACAACACUUCCCACCCACCAGAAUGGCUCUUAUUAAAAAGUGAAAAAUCAGAAACAUUGGCAAGGUUGUAGUGAAAGUCAAACCCUUGAACAUUGCUAGUGGGAAUGAAAUGUGGUGCAAUCAUUCUAGAAAACAGUUUGGCAAUUUCCCAAUAAAUUAAAAUGUGAUGGCUGUCUAGGUCAGUGAGUUCUCUCCUUAGGAACAUACCCAGAAGGAGGAAGCAGAAACUGGGACAGAUAUUUGCACACCCAUGUUCAUGGGACUAUUAGCCAUAAUACCAAGCAAUUCGCGGACUCGCUGAUGGGUUAAUGGAUAUGCAAAAUGCACCAUAGUAUAUUAUUCAGCUUGAAGGAGGAUGAACCUUAAAGACACUGAUCUACAUCAAAUAAGCCAGACACAAAGGAUAAAUACUGUAUGAUUUCAUUUUCAUUGUAGCACAGAGUCAUGUUCACAGAAAGAAUGUAGAUGUGUGUUGGGGAUCAGGGGAGGGCUGGGAGGAGAAGGGGACCAGAGCAUCUGUGUAAUAAGUACAGA